GAGACUGGCCGAUCCGAAUGUGUGGCUCCUGGUGCUUUGUCUAACUCUGCAAGAAACUGAUGGAGUUAUUAUUUGCGAAAUCUUAUAACAACCACCACACUCCAGAUAUUAUUUCAUUCAUUCACACAUAGAUAUUUAUAUGUAUGCAUCUCUGUUGUAGUUGUAAUGACAUAUCAUAAUUGACAUGUCAUUUGUGGAGAGAUUCGGCUAAUGUUAUGUUGAAGAUAUGGUUAUCAGCCUGCCAGCUGUCCGUGUCUAUGCAUAAGCAAUAGGACAAACAAGCACAUUUAAUUAUAAGCGACCUCCAGUUGUCAAGAAAGGAAGGAAAAAAUAACAAACAAACAAGGAAGGUGGUUUAUUGGUGGAGUUGGCGCUGUUUUUCCUUAUGUUUUCAAUUACUGAUAAACUUAAUGAAGAUCAGAAUGAAUGAUAAUCAGAAUGAUACUCCCUCUACUUUACCGAAAGUUCAAACGUUACCUUCUUUCAAUACAACAAGUCUCCCUAAUACCGACAGCAGUGCUAGUCACCAUCAUCUUUACCACCACCGGCCGCUUGUUUCACAGACAGCCAUCACCAACACUACUGGUCCAACAACAUCUUUGUCGUCCACGUGUAAAACCAUGGAUGUUAAUCGCCACAGUAAGAAACCAGAACGUCACUCUCCUAGGAACCAACAUAACAGUAUUUUUGCAGAAGUGGAAUUUGGGCCAAAAGGAACUUUGAUGGACAACUCUAGACUCAUAACAAUUCCGGAACAAACAGGACAGAAACUAAAAUGGUCAGAACCUCCAGAAACAGUUCUGGUGCUUAAAAAGUCAUUUGGUGACAAUAUGUUUGAACCAUUUAUUGAGGUUCUCUUCUGGCUUACUUAUGAGAAAAAAUUGACUGUGUUUGUAGAGUCAAAGGUUUUAAAUCCUAUAUUUUUCAAGGACGAACGAUAUGACGGCAUAAAAAAUCAUCUACAAACUUUCAAUCAAGAUAAUGAAGACCUAACAGACCGCAUAGAUCUUGUGAUAUGUUUAGGAGGAGAUGGAACCUUGAUGUAUGCAGCAUCUCUUUUCCAGCAAAGUGUACCCCCAGUAAUGUCUUUCCAUCUUGGCUCUCUUGGAUUUCUUGCACCAUUCCAGUUUCGGGAAUUUAAAGAAGACAUCACACAAGUUUUAGAAGGUAACGCUACUUUACUACUUCGAAGUCGACUGGAAUGUAUUGUCUGUAAAGCUGGUACGGAACUGUCAAAAAAGAGUGACUGGAAGAAUAUUCUGGUACUGAAUGAAGUUGUUCUUGACCGAGGAUUAUCUCCCUAUUUGUGUAAUCUGGAUUUGUAUGUAGAGCGACAUUUAGUGACGUCUGUACAAGGUGAUGGUAUUAUUAUAUCUACUCCUACCGGAAGUACAGCCUAUGCUGUUGCUGCAGGUGCCUCUAUGAUGCAUCCUAGUGUUCCUUCCAUCAUGAUAACCCCCAUCUGCCCUCAUUCAUUGUCUUUCCGACCUAUUGUGGUACCAGCUGGAGUUGAGAUAAAGUUGAUGGUAUCCAAAGAAGCACGCAAUACAGCAUGGGUUUCCUUUGAUGGUCGUAGCAGACAGGAGCUGAAGGUUGGUGAUUGUGUGAAAAUCAAGACAGCAACUCAUCCCGUUCCUUCAAUAUGUUGUAAAGAUCCCAUUGAUGACUGGUUCAACAGUCUAGCUGAAUGUUUACAUUGGAAUGUACGGAAAUUACAAGGAGGACCUUCAUCGACCACGAGUAUGGCUAGUCUGAAUUCUGAUGAAAUAGAUUUUAAUCAUAGCAGCUAACCCCAGUCUCUUCCUUUUGGACCUCUUCAACAUCUAGCUUACACAAUCUAUUCGGCUAUUAUUGGCUGGAUUGUUCAUCACACUUUUGCUGAGAGUGAGAGAGAGAGAAAGAGUUGAGAGUGUGAGU
rnacentral:misc_RNA from 1 species